rnacentral:rRNA from 1 species
UACGUAGGGUCCGAGCGUUGUCCGGAUUUAUUGGGCGUAAAGAGCGUGUAGGCGGCCAGACAGGUCCGUUGUGAAAACUAGAGGCUUAACCUCUAGACGUCGAUGGAAACCGUCUGGCUAGAGUCCGGAAGAGGAGAAUGGAAUUCCUGGUGUAGCGGUGAAAUGCGCAGAUAUCAGGAAGAACACCCGUGGCUAAGGCGGUUCUCUAGUACGGUACUGACGCUGAGACGCGAAAGCGUGGGGAGCGAACAGG